CUGGCCCUCCUGAAUCAGGCUCUGCUUUUUACUGAACGAGAUCCCCAGGUGCUCCUUUGCUCACUGAGGUUUGAAAAGCGCUGAGGCUGGGUCCCGCAGGCAGGAGGAGGACUUUGGGUUUCAUCUGCAGUGCGAUGAGGGCCUUUGGGAGGGGGCUGUGGAGCAAAGGCAGAUGUGAUGGAAUCUCUGUUUUCGGAGUCUGCUCAGGCUGCUGGGUCCAGGAUAGCUCUGGGUACUGAGUGGUUGUCGGGAGAACAGUGAGGAGGCCAUUGGUACUCAGGCCAGGGAUGGCCACGGGCCACCAGCUCAUGAUGGGUGAACAGUGACACCUGGAGCUCUGCUGCCAUGAGUGCCCAGCUCAGGGACUUUGGGGUGGGGAUGGGGGGCCCCUUCCUUCCUCUCCCCUCCCCUCCCAAGAGACUGCAGUCACCGGAGCCAAAUCCCAGCAGGUCUGUGCUCACUGCUGAGCUGUUCUGCCUCCUUCCUGACCCUUCCUCCAGCUCUUGAGCAGGAUUUUAAUACCAAUGACUUGGUGUGAUUGACACACACAAAUGCAUGUGCACACAGACACACGUGGACUCACACACGUACAUG
rnacentral:lncRNA from 10 species